UUGGUGUAAAUUUGUUUAUACCGAUCCAGAAUCCCCUAAUAAAAUUCCCCCAACCCUAAUUUUGCAAAAAGCCCCUUGAAAAGUAACGACAAGGUGGGCUUCAGCACGAGCUUCCUCCAACUUCAUUAUGAGCUCCUCCAUGAAGGGUGCUCUUGUCCCAUGAAUGAUUCCAAGCAUUCCCAAGUAGAAAUCCUUGAUAGUGACGAGGCACCGUCCUCCUUUCUCUGGAACAUCUGAAAGAGCUAUACGCCGAUCUCGAAGAUCUCUCUGCAACUCCUCCGCGGACGCGCACGCCUCACGCUCUCUCCCUCCUGCCACCAGAACGUUCAAAUAAUGCCCACCGUUAAAGUAGCGGCAAGUUAAGAGUACGUGAGCGGUGCUCUCAUUACAUUCAAUAUUUUUCAUUCACAUCCAAUAAUUCUUGCAAGUUAAUCACUAUCAACCGAACGAUGCAUGCGAUGGGUCCAUACUUAAAAUCAACGGCUUCAGGACCGCCUGUGAGAAAAUAUUUUUAAGCACCACUGUGCCAAUUAGUAGCAUUGGUUCCUCCGCCCAGUAAUGAGAAAAACCUCCCUCUCAAAAUAGUUCUUCUCGGCUCAUGCCACUCUUGAGUUGCCUCCUUCGGUUUACGUCUCUGUCGUUUCGCUCUCUGGACAAGCUUAUAUCUGUAAGAACUAAAACGCACUACACUCACUGCCGAUCAGUAACCUGCAUGGAUAGCGGCGACGGCACCAGCUCGGCCUGUACGUUGGUAUUAUGUGGAAAAUCAUCAGCAGAGAAGGAAAUUGCUCUAUCUUUGAAGAAGAAUAGUGCUGUCAAACUCCCUGACGAUACUCCAGUUUCUAUACUCUUGGAAUCGGAGAUUGCUAAGCUGGACAAAGAGCCUUUCAAUGUAGAGCUGUUCUUCAAUUGUCUUUCCACCAGAAUUUUCGGUAGGUUCCUCAUUUGGUCUCCUCGAUUGACUUCGACUCACGAUGUCGUUUCGCUCAAUUUCUGUGAGCUUCCAAUCGGCGCUGCUUGUGUCGCUGAUGUUCAAUAUAAGGGACGAGGUCGAUCAAAGAAUGUGUGGGAAUCUCCUUUGGGCUGCUUGAUGUUUUCUUUUACUGUGCAAAUGGAGGAUGGGCGAGUUGUGCCUUUGUUGCAAUACGUGGUGUCUCUUGCCGUUACAGAAGCAAUAAAGGAUGUUUGUCACACAAAAGGCUUACCAUUUCUCGACAUUAAGAUAAAAUGGCCAAAUGAUCUUUACUUAAACGGCCUUAAAGUUGGUGGCAUCCUAUGCACUUCAACUUAUAAAUCAAAGAAGUUCAAUGUUAGUGCUGGUAUAGGUUUGAAUAUCAACAAUGAGAAACCAACAACAUGCUUGAAUGCGAUACUAAGAGAAUUAUCUACUGCUGAUUUCCAAUUUAGCCGAGAAGAUAUUAUAGCAGCUUUUUUUAACAAAUUUGAAAAUCUCUAUGAUCUUUUCAUAAAUCAAGGAUUCCAAACUCUUGAGGAACUGUACUAUAGAACAUGGCUACACAGUGAGCAGAGAGUCAUCAUACAAGAAAAAAAUGGAGAUCAAGUAGUGGAGAAUGUGGUCACUAUUCAGGGCUUGACAUCCUCAGGGUAUUUAUUAGCUGUUGGCGAUGACAAUCAGAUGUGUGAGCUUCAUCCUGAUGGCAAUAGGAACAACUAGGACCACUGAGAUAGUGGCAAAGGCUUUCAUUAUCUAAAGUUAAUUUCUGUCAAACAAAAGAAGGGAAAGAAGUUCAAAUGGUGAAUACCAAUUCUUAAAGUACAUCAUACAAGAUGCGCUAUGGGGCUGCGGCUAGAUUUCAUUACUUCCCCUACUAUAUUAGGGGCUUUUGUAUCUAUUUAGUUGCUUAGUAAGAUCAGCCAUUGGAUUUGGAAAAAAAAUAAUUUUGGUCUGAAACAUAUCUUUUUCUUUUUUACCAAAAUACCAUGAGGUUCUUCUCAAAGCCCAGCAAGUAGCACCACAAAAGUGGUUGCUCUCAUGCAUUGUAUUGAUUUUGAUUGUCUUCAAAAAGGGACCUCUAUCAGUGGCCUAUCUAAGGUUGUAGCAUCUGGUAUUUGUUUUGCUUUGUAUAAUUCUUUUAUCCUUGGAAUUGUAAUUAUCUUCCACA